rnacentral:rRNA from 1 species
CCUACGGGAGGCAGCAGUGAGGAAUAUUGGUCAAUGGACGAGAGUCUGAACCAGCCAAGUAGCGUGAAGGAUGACUGCCCUAUGGGUUGUAAACUUCUUUUAUAUGGGAAUAAAACGUUCCACGUGUGGGAUUUUGUAUGUACCAUAUGAAUAAGGAUCGGCUAACUCCGUGCCAGCAGCCGCGGUAAUACAGAGGAUCCGAGCGUUAUCCGGAUUUAUUGGGUUUAAAGGGAGCGUAGGUGGAUUGUUAAGUCAGUUGUGAAAGUUUGCGGCUCAACCGUAAAAUUGCAGUUGAAACUGGCAGUCUUGAGUACAGUAGAGGUGGGCGGAAUUCGUGGUGUAGCGGUGAAAUGCUUAGAUAUCACGAAGAACUCCGAUUGCGAAGGCAGUUCACUGGACUGCAACUGACACUGAGGCUCGAAAGUGUGGGUAUCAAACAGGAUUAGAUACCCUAGUAGUC